rnacentral:rRNA from 1 species
CGUUAACGAACGAGACCUUAACCUGCUAAAUAGCCAGGCCCGCUUUUGCGGGUCGCCGGCUUCUUAGAGGGACUAUCGGCUCAAGCCGAUGGAAGUUUGAGGCAAUAACAGGUCUGUGAUGCCCUUAGAUGUCCUGGGCUGCACGCGCGCUACACUGAUGAAGUCAACGAGUUCAUAUCCUUUAUCGAAAGAUAUGGGUAAUCUUUUGAAACUUCAUCGUGAUGGGGAUAGAGCAUUGCAAUUAUUGCUCUUCAACGAGGAAUUCCUAGUAAGCGUGAGCCAUCAGCUCGCGUUGAUUACGUCCCUGCCCUUUGUACACACCGCCCGUCGCUACUACCGAUUGAAUGGCU